GUCUGGGUGGCUCAGUCGGUUAAGCAUCUGACUUCAGUUCAGGUCAUGAUCUCAUGAUGUGGGUUCAAGCCCUACCUGGGGCU
rnacentral:tRNA from 1 species